GAGAGAGAGAGAGAGAGAGAGAGAGAGAGAGAGAGAGAGAGAGAGAGAGAGAGAGAGAGAGAGAGAGAUUAGUGUCAGCAGAAGAAGGAAAUAGGAGGGGAAAAAAGUAGAGGAGGUAGUAGUGUGGCUUACCUUAAUCUUCAUCUGCCUUGGCAAGAAAAACAAACCUUUUAAUGGAAGCCAAUGGAGAGACUCUAAAAUAAGGAGGUUGAAUUAGUACCAGGUGUGAAGUCUAGGGCAAGAGGAAUCCCAAAUUUUGACACAGAAAUUUCAGUACAGAGAUUCCUUGAAGUUUCCUAUUAGGGGAAGGAAUAUAAAGUUUAUUUAAAUAUUGGGAACUGCUGUCCAGGCCAGCGGGUGACUUAAAGCCCCCUUGCCCUUGGCUAGCUCUCAGGAGAAUGAGCAAGGCAAUUAGUCUAAUUACUAGGUCUAAUUACUUUAUAUGCAGACUUGGAUUUGGGAGAAAAUUGGGUUUGGUUCUUGGCUUUGCCACUUAAUAGCUAUGCCAAGGCUGGCAAGUUUUACCAAGUCUCAGUUUCAUGGCCUAUACAAUGGGAACAAAUACAUUUCUUACCUCACAGGGUUGUCAUGAGGGAAGUGCUUGUGAAACUCUUUUGGAGCUCAAAGUUAUUACUUUGACACACACAGAUUCUCUUUAACAGCUCAGAUCCACUAAUGAAAAUGAGAUCUUUAUGGAUACAAAAUACUUUCACAGAUCUUGAAGCAACCCUGUGCAGUAGGGAGGUGGGUCAUUUAGCAGGUAGACAAAUGAAGUCUCAGAAAAGUUGAGACUUGCUCAAGACUUGCUGAAUUUCAGAUAGUUAUCUUUUGAGGUGGAGUCAAGAUGGCAGAGUAGAGGCAACGAAAGUUCAGACCUCUGAAAACCCUUCCUUAUGGAUCACAAACCAAAUGCUCCUAGGGGACUGAAUCAAACCUAACAACAAGACAGAGCCAAGGAACCCUCCUGCUGAACUCAACUUAAAAGGUUUUGACCUCAGGGCACUUCCAGCUCUGCAAUUCAGCUGCCCUUAAUCUCAUCAGAGCCUUCAGAGGACCAGGAAGCUCAAGCUCCAACACCCUUCCCCCACAGACUGUGCUGAGCGAUUUGCUGACUAAGCGCCAAGGGUGAAGGCUGACAGAAAGGCCCCAAAACAGAGAUCUAACACAAAAUGAGAGGAGCAAAAGCACAGGCAACUACAGGGAGUAAAGAAGGGGUAAAUAUGAGCAAACAACAGAAAAAGAAAUUACAAUUGACAGCUUCUUUCCAGGCAAUGAACAAAGAGCAAAUGGAACUGAGAAGGAUGAAGGAACAGCAGCAAAAUAACAGAAACUCCAGUGAUUUGGAUACAGGCUUUGGAAGAACUCAAAAUACAAUUCAAAACACAAUUAAGAGAGGCUGAAGACAACUGGGGAAAGAACUUAAAAGCAAGAUAAGUCAUCUGGAAACAGAAAACAGUGUCUUGAAAGCCAAAAUUAAUCAGCUUGAAAAUGAGGCAAAGGAGAUGAAAGAUCAGAAGGAGAAGGAUGACCAAAAAGCCAGGGAUGCAAUCGAGUCUUUAAUAUCCAGAAUACAACAACUAGAAGCAAGUGACUUCACAAGGCAGCAGGACACUAUAAAGCAAAAUCAAAAGAAUGAAAAAAUUGAGAAAAAUAUGAAGCAUCUCAUUCAUAAAACAGAAGAUUUAGAAAAUCAUUCCAGGAGAGACAACUUAAGAAUCAUUGAUCUACCAGAAGACCAUGACAAAAGAAAAAACCUGGACAUCAUACUACAGAAAAUUAUCCAAGAAAAACUGCCCUGAUAUUCUAGAACAAGAGGGAAAAGUGGAGAUUGAAAGAACCCACAGAUCACCUCCUAUACUUAAUCCCCAACUGACAACACCCAGAAAUGUUAUAGCCAAAUUCAAGAACUAUCAGACUAAGGAAAAAAUAUUACAAGCUGCUAAGAAGAAGUCAUUCAGAUACCAUGGAACCACAGUGGGGAUAACACAGCAUCUGGCUGCAUCUACUCUGAAGGACCAAAAGGCAUGGAAUAUGAUAUCCUGGAAAGCAAGGGAACUAGGUCUACAACCAAGAAUCAACUAUCUAGCAAAACUGACUAUAUUCUUACAGGGGAAAGUAUGGUCAUUUAACAAAAUAGAAGAAUUCCAAGCAUUUGUAAAGAAAAGACCAGACCUGAACAGAAAAUCUGAUGCACAAACACAGAACUCAAAAGAAUCAUCAAAAGAAAAAACCAUGACAAAAUUCAUUUGGAAGAACAAAAGAUCAAGGAUAUCCAGGGAAAUAAUGGAGAAAAAAAUGAAGGUGGCCUUGCAGUCCCAGAUCUCAAACUAUACUAUAAGGCAAUGAUCAUCAAAACAAUAUGGUACUGGCUAAGAGACAGAAAGGAGGAUUAGUGGUAUAGACUUGGAGUAAGUGACCUCAGCAAAACAAGCCCAAAGUUCCCAGCUUUUGGAACAAAAAUCCACUAUUUGAUAAAAACUGCUGGGAAAAUUGGAAGACAGUGUGGGAGAGAUUGGAUUUGGAUCAACACCUCACACCCUACAUCAAGAUAAACUCAGAAUGGAUGAAUGACUUGAAUAUAAAGAAGGAAACUAUAAGUAAAUUAUGUGAACACAGAAUAGUAUACAUGUCAGACCUUUGGGAAGGGAAAGAUUUUAAAACCAAGCAAGAGCUAGAAAGAGUCACAAAAUUAAAAUCAGUAAUUUUGAUUACAUCAAAUUAAAAAGUUUUUGUACAAACAAAACCAAUGUAACUAAAAUUAAAAGGGAAGUAACAAAUUGGGAAACAAUCUUCAUAACAAAAACCUCUGACAAAGGUCUAAUUACUCAAAUUUAUAAAGAACUAAACCAAUAGUACAAAAAAAUCAAGACAUUCUCCAAUUGAUAAAUGGGCAAGGGACAUGAAUAGGCAAUUUUCAGUCAAAGAAAUCAAAACUAUUAAUAAGCACAUGAAAAAGUGCUCUAAAUCUCAUAAUCAGAGAAAUGCAAAUCAAAACAACUCUGAGGUAUCACCUCACACCUAGACGAUUGGCUAACAUCAUAACAAAGGAAAGUAAUGAAUGCUGCAGGGAAUGUGGCAAAGUUGGGACAUUAAUGCAUUGCUGGAGGAAUUGUGAAUUGAUCCAGCCAUUCUGGAGGGCAAUUUGGAACUAUGCCCAAAGGGCGCUAAAAGACUGUCUGCCCUUUGAUCCAGCCAUAGCACUGCUGGGUUUGUACCCCAAAGAGAUAAUAAGGAAAAAGACCUGUACAAGAAUAUUCAUAGCUGCGCUCUUUGUGGUGGCAAAAAAACUGGAAAAUGAGGGGAUGCCCAUCAAUUGGGGAAUGGCUGAACAAACUGUGGUAUCUGUUGGUGAUGGAAUACUAUUGUGCUCAAAGGAAUAAUGAAAUGGAGGAAUUCCAUGGGGACUGGAACAACCUCCAGGAAGUGAUGCAGAGCAAAAGGAGCAGAACCAGGAGAAUGUUGUACACAGAGACUGAUACACUGUGGCACAAUUGAACAUAAUGGACUUCUCCAUUAGUGGCAAUGCCAUGAUCCUGAACAACUCAGAUGGAUUUAUUGGAAAGAACACUAUCCACAUUCAGAGGGGAAACUGUGGGAGUAGAAACACAGAAGAAAAACAACUGCUUGAAUACAUGGAUCGAGGGGGAUAUGAUUGGGGAUAUAUACACUAAAGGAACAUCCUAGUGCAAACAACAACAUGGAAGUAGGUUCUGAUCAAGGUCACAUGUAAUAUCCAGUGGAAUUGCAUGUCAGCAAUGGGAAGGGUGGGGAGAGGAGAGGGAGGAAUAGAAUACGAUUCUUGUAACCAAGGAAUAAUGUUCUAAAAUGACUAAAUAAAUAACUUACAAUGAAAAAAAAAGUAGUUCAGGGCCAGAUCUGAAACAUGGGCCUUUUCAACCCAAGACCACUGUCUUAUUCCAUAUUGGCCAUUAGGAACCAACACAAAGCCUUCUGCCCCAUCAACUCACACACGCUAUAGCUGAUAAACUGCCGGACCUGGAAUUAAGAAGACCUAAUUUCAAAUCUUGCUUCAGACACUUACUGCCUAUAUGGCUCUGGGCAAGUCAUUUGAUUUCUUUCAGACUCAGUUCCCUCAUCUGUAAAAUGGAGAUAAUAAGAGAAACUACCUCCCAGGGUUAUUGUGAUGAGCAAAUGAGAUACUAUUGGUAACAGGCUGCCAAUCUCAGAGCCUUCUAUAAAUGAUAUCUAUUAUUAUUGUUGUUCUCCUUAGAAGCAUACACAUGACUUCUGGAUCUCAGUUUAGUCAGAAGGGUCAGUGGGUGGUCAGGAUGUAUUCUCCUCUUGCUCCCAGCCAUGAUGAGCCUUUCCCCCUCCCCUCCUCCAAUUCAGAAGCCCAGGAGUGGGAUAACAAAGGUGAAUUGACUCUGACAUCCCUCCCUACCCCUCUUACACAAAUCCAGCAUCCUCUUCUUCUCAUCCGUCCCUGGGCAAAGGGGACAAUGUGCUCUUCUGUGUUGGAGAAGAGAGAUGCCAGAGCAGAGCUCCCCUCCCCCAGCUAUCUGUCCCCCCAAAUUUAUAGGUUUCUUAUUGUCCUGCACAAAGACUUGAGGACCUGGAGACUGGGAGGGGGAGAUGCACAUUAAAAAGUCAGCUGCUGAGUAACAGUCUACCACACCCACAGCCACCAUAAAUCUGCCAGUGGCCAGAGCUCCUGCUCCUCCCCCUAUCCUGGGUGGAAAGGGGAGCCUAUUCCCUGUGCCCUUUGCCAGCCUCCCCCUAGGAUCCUGGAUCAUCUCCUGAACCUCCCCUUCCCUACCCUGAACUCGAAUCCAUCUUUGGAGGCUUUGGAGUGGGAUGGGAUGGGAAGGUCUAUCCUGAGCAAAAGAUGCAAAGCUCUGGGUGAUCCAAGAUUUACAUUGUACUUUGUCAUCCCCUGAAAGUCAGGCUGUCCUUCCUGAGAUCUAUCUUCCAUCUGUCCAGUUGCAAUUGCAGCCUUUUCCUGUUUGUUCAGACUGGGAUAACAAAAGGUCAACACAGGGGCAGCUGGGGGGCUCAGUGGAUUGAGAGCCAGACCUGGAGACAGGAGGUCCUGGGUUCAAAUCCGGAUGUAGACACUUUCUAGCCAUGUGACUCUGGGCAAGUCACUUAAACCCAAUUGCCUACCCAUUGCCACUCUCCUGCCUUGGAACCAAUAUACUAUACUGUUUCCAAGAUGGAAGAGAAGGGUUUUAAUUUUUUUUAAAUGUCAUCUUCGAAAUGAACUGUCAAGAUCUCCAAAUCUAACCUCCUUAUUUAAUAUAUGAGGAAACAACCAGAGAGUAGUGUAGUGACUUGCCCAAGGUCACACAAUGAAUAGCACAAUUGGGAUUUAAACCUGAUUUUUCUGACUCUGGAUCCAAGAUUUUCCCUGUGUAAAUAUAAUUUGGAUAGGGGGAAGGAAAGUAACCGAGAGGGAUAAACAUAUAAAUAUCGAAUUUAUUAACAGAUAAGGGUAAGGUUUUGGG